rnacentral:lncRNA from 1 species
GAGUGGAGAAAAAUGCAACAAUCAUGGGGUGCUGUUUGGAAGCUCGAUGCCGGUGGAGAAUUACAGCCUCCACUGUCGAUUCGGUUAACUUCUCAGUAUUCGGAACAAACUCUGGUUGCCAAAAAUGUGAUUCCCGUGGGGUGGAAACCUGGUGCAACUUAUCGUUCCCUCGUUAAUUUCCUAUGAGCCCCGGGCUAACCUGGUGCAACUUAUCGUUCCUUGGUUAAUUUCCUACGAGCCCCGGGCCAACUCGGUGCAAAAUAUCGUUCCUUGGUGCAAAAUAUCGAGUGAGCAACUAUAUUUUAUAUAUUUGGUCUGGUUUGGUAGUAGUUUUUUAUGUAUAAGUUUGUGAGUGUGGUGAGGAUACUAGUUUGGCAUAUAACGUCCCAGAAAAGGAAU